rnacentral:rRNA from 1 species
CCUACGGGUGACAGCAGUGAGGAAUAUUGGUCAAUGGGCGAGAGCCUGAACCAGCCAAGUCGCGUGAGGGAAGACGGUCCUAUGGAUUGUAAACCUCUUUUGUCGGGGAGCAAAAAGCGGUACGUGUACCGCAUUGAGAGUACCCGGAGAAAAAGCAUCGGCUAACUCCGUGCCAGCAGCCGCGGUAAUACGGAGGAUGCGAGCGUUAUCCGGAUUUAUUGGGUUUAAAGGGUGCGCAGGCGGCGUGUUAAGUCAGCGGUAAAAUUUCGGGGCUCAACCCCGGACCUGCAGUUGAAACUGUUGGUCUUGAGUAUCGGGGAGGCAGGCGGAAUUCCUAGUGUAGCGGUGAAAUGCGUAGAUAUUAGGAGGAACACCGGUGGCGAAGGCGGCCUGCUGGACGACAACUGACGGUGAGGCGCGAAAGCGUGGGGAGCAAACAGGAUUAGAUACCCUGGUAGUC